AAACCUUCGUUCCUAAAGUUUGGUCACGAGAUGUAUUCCAAACAGCGCUUAUAGAGGCUGCAAAGUACAGCGGAGGGGAUACAUGGAUUCUGUAUUGUGGAAGUCGUAAAAGCACCGUGUCUUCGAUGAUUUCAGAAGCAUUUGAUACAUAUACCCAUUUAGAAAAUCUACAUUCGUAUCCAAAGGAAGCUGAAUCUUUUCCAAUUAAACCAAUUACGCUUUCUUUUGAAAACGAUUCCAAAAAGGACAGAAAGCCGACACAAUUGACGGGCCUCAUUGAAUGUAUGUUUCAUGGG